rnacentral:rRNA from 1 species
CCCUUAGAUGUCCUGGGCCGCACGCGCGUUACACUGAUGCAUUCAACGAGCUUAUAACCUUGGCCGAGAGGCCUGGGCAAUCUUGUUAACGUGCAUCGUGAUAGGGAUAGAUUAUUGAAAUUAUUAAUCUUGAACGAGGAAUUCCUGGUAAACGCAGAUCAUCAAUCUGCAUUGAUUACGUCCCUGCCCUUUGUACACACCGCCCGUCGCACCUACCGAUUGGAUGGUCCGGUGAAGCCUCGGGAUUGUGGUUCUUGCCGCUUUAUUGUGGCGUGACCGCGAGAACUUGUCUAAACCUUAUCAUUUAGAGGAAGGUGAAGUCGUAACA